CACUGUAAGGUUCUUACCAUAGAGUUGGAGGCAGGUUGAACCAGUGAGAGCUCCGUCAGGGUAGGUGUUAAACAAACAGUGAUAGCAUCCUUCAUCUUCCUCCGUCACCCUCCUGAUAACGAUGGAGCUGUUCUGCAGUCCAGCAUAUUUAAACUCCACUUUGUCUCUAAAGUCAGGAUUCACUUUCUCACCAAAGUAUGCAGUGUAAGUAGCAAUAUUCUGCUCCUUGUCAGGUAAAAUUUUCUGCCAUGUGACUUGAAGAACAUCUUUAGGUUGCAUCAGCUGACAGUUUAAAAGAGCCUCUUCUCCCACUGCUGCCAUCACAGUCUGCUGAGUCUCUAUCACAGCUGCUAGACCU